GGAAUCUUAGACAAUGGGCGCAAGCCUGAUCUAGCCAUGCCGCGUGAGUGACGAAGGCCUUAGGGUCGUAAAUCUCUUUCGCCAGAGAUGAUAAUGACUGUAUCUGGUAAAGACACCCCGGCUAACUCCGUGCCAGCAGCCGCGGUAAUACGGAGGGGGUUAGCGUUGUUCGGAAUUACUGGGCGUAAAGCGCACGUAGGCGGAUUGGAAAGUAUGGGGUGAAAUCCCAGGGAUCAACCCUGGAACGGCCUUGUAAACUCCCAGCCUAGAGUUCGAGAGAGGUGAGUGGAAUUCCAAGUGUAGAGGUGAAAUUCGUAGAUAUUUGGAGGAACACCAGUGGCGAAGGCGGCUCAGUGGCUCGAUACUGACGCUGAGGUGCGAAAGUGUGGGGAGCA
rnacentral:rRNA from 1 species